GACGAACGCUGGCGGCGUGCCUAACACAUGCAAGUCGAACGAGGUCCAUGCAGUGGCAACACUGCGGAAGACCUAGUGGCGAGCGGGUGAGUAACACGUGAGGAACCUGCCCCGAAGACCGGGAUAACCCUCCGAAAGGAGAGCUAAUACCGGAUGCCCCCACCUGGUCGCAUGGCCGGGUGAGGAAAUGGAUUCCGCUUCGGGAGGGCCUCGCGGCCUAUCAGCUAGUUGGUGAGGUAACGGCUCACCAAGGCAUCGACGGGUAGCUGGUCUGAGAGGACGAUCAGCCACACUGGGACUGAGGCACGGCCCAGACUCCUACGGGAGGCAGCAGUGGGGAAUCUUGCGCAAUGGGCGAAAGCCUGACGCAGCAACGCCGCGUGGGGGAUGAAGGCUCUCGGGUUGUAAACCCCUUUCAACAGGGACGAAAUUGACGGUACCUGCAGAAGAAGCCCCGGCUAACUACGUGCCAGCAGCCGCGGUAAUGUCUAGC
rnacentral:rRNA from 1 species